rnacentral:rRNA from 1 species
UACGGGGGGGGCAAGCGUUGUUCGGAAUUACUGGGCGUAAAGGGCUCGUAGGCGGCCAACUAAGUCGGAUGUGAAAUCCCCAGGCUUAACCUGGGAACUGCAUCCGAUACUGGAUGGCUUGAAUCCGGGAGAGGGAUGCAGAAUUCCAGGUGUAGCGGUGAAAUGCGUAGAUAUCGAGAGGAACACCUGCGGCGAAGGCGGGUUGCUGGGCUGACACUGACGCUGAGGCGCGAAAGCUAGGGGAGCGAACGGG